UGAUGUAGUUUUUUGAUAUUAUACCUAUAUUUAUGAUUAUGUAUUAAUACCUGACGAAAAUACUAUAAGAACUAAUAAAUUAUUUACUAUUGAGACAUAAAAGUGUUGUUUGUUUUGCUGCAUUAAAGUGUAAGCCUGUUCUGGGCAACAGUGAGCGCAGAAUGUAUUGAGCAAUCUCACACACCCUAGUUCUAUACAGCAAGACAUUUUUGGCGUAGUCGGCAGGAUCUAUGUUUUCUUAUAUCUCGGUGUAGGAUACUGAUAGUGUAAAACGCUUUUGUACAGUGGUGGGUCCUGGCCAGACUUACCUCUGUGCAAAGUUUUGUCAAUUGGCAGUUUGCCAAGUUUUCGCCGAUAUAUAACAACAUAGCACGGUAAGGAUGUUUCGUAAGGGGAAAAAGGCUGGAGCGGAGCAAAUCACCGUCCCAGGGUGGAGUGAAAGUCCCUACAAUAUUAUAGCACAGGAGUUAUUAACGUCAGGUUUAGCAGAAUCAUGGGAUGGUAAACUCAAGAAUGCAGAACCCCUCGAUGUUGUAUAUGUACUUGAGGGGGUCCCUGCCAAGGCAGGUGAUGUAAUGGCGCUGGGAAGACGGUGCUGGAUACUAGUAUCAGCAUACCGUAAAAUGCACCAAAGAUAUGAGCAGUUACAAUCACGUUAUUUAGAUAUAGAACAAACAGUAAUUGAACAACAAGGAAAGAUAGGAUUGUUACAGUGUAGCAAUCAGAUGUUAUCAGAAAAAGCCCAGAAAUAUCAGAUUGUUGCCGAGAAGGCUGCUGUUAAAGUAGCCCAGAACAAAUAUAAAACAAGAAAGGGAAGGGUAAACACCCGAAAAGUACGAGCAAUUAUUGCUUCUGACGAUCUUCAAUGGGAUCCCGAUACAUGGGAUGGUGAUGUAUGGGAUAGUAGUAGUGAGGAGGAGGAAGAGGACAAGGGGGGAUGGGAUCCUCCCAAUCCUGUCAUUGACCCUCCUGGGGCAAAUGCUUGUCCUGUCUCGCGCAGGCAAUUAACUAAGCUUGCAGAAGGUGGAGGGCAGGCAGUCCUCAAAGAGAAAAUGAUACUGCAAGAUUUCACUCAAAAUUAAGUUAUGGAACUAUUGACCAAAUUUUCACAACGCCCCGGGGAAGGCGUCCUUACCUGGCUGGUCCGUUUGGUAGAGGAUGGCGCUGGAGGGGUUGAUGUAGAUAGACAAGAUGUUGCAAAAUUUGGAACUCUAUCCAAAGAUAGGACAAUUAUGAGGGACGCACAGUUAUGGUUCGCCAGAGAGGGUAAUGCUCAAGUACAAACUAAUCUCUUAACAGUGGUUGCAUACGGGGUAAAUUCCCGGUACACUGAUGAGAUACCUACCUCUGACAAACCAUGGACAACCCUCAGAGAGUGUGUUCAACGAUGUAAGGAAGAGGCUAUGAAAGCCGCUGUGCUUUUAGAAGAAGCCGCUGAAUAUUUACAAGGAAGGGUUUCAGUAGCAGCUCGGGCUAGGCUCGUGAAGACAGCUCCCCCUGCAUAUAAGCCAGUGGUUCUGACAUUAUUAAUUUCUAUGACAGAUCAAAGAUGGGAAGAUGUAAUCGAUAAGAUGCGGGAAUUACAGGACAUGGGAGAAUGGAAUAGGGAUAGAGCAGAGUCAAACACUAGAGAAGGGAGUGGAGAACAGGGAUACAGACAAACCGGCAAUGCAGAUAAUAGAGUAUCCAGACGGGAAAUGUUCCAAGCUCUUUUGAAAGCAGGAAUAGAUAAAGAAACCAUAGAUGGGAAAGAUACUCCCUAUUUAUGGAAAUUGUAUAAGCAAAAAAUUUUGUCAGGCAAGAAAAUUGCUUUUGCAGGGAAUACCAGUGAAAAAAGGUAAAAGAAUUUAGGGAUCAAGAAAAAGCAAUUAAGGGAGGAAAAUUGCCUGACUGGGAGAUGUUUGAAAAAUUAUAUCCCUGGGAGGAUAUUGCCGCUAAAGUAGCAACACAUUUGAAGCCUACUGCUCCUCCCGAGGAACAGGAAGAUUGAGAGGGUGAUGCAUAGGUAGCCAGCCAAGCCCCUGUAUGGAUUCGUCAUGAUGAGAGACCUUAUGUCAGAUUAGGAAUCCAUUGGUCACGGGGCAAUGUACAAGAGGUCCCCGCGUUAAUUGACACAGGGGCGGAGGCUACCCUAAUAUAUGGAAAUCCCAAUAGAUUUAAAGGACCCCGAAUUAAAAUUGCAGGGUUGGGGGGUCGAGUAACUGAAGGGGUACAGGUGGAAAUACCUCUAAAAAUAGGAAAUUUACCUAUUAAGAAAUGCUGAGUACUAAUAGUACCCAUUAGAGAAUAUAUUAUAGGCAUUGAUGUUUUAAAAGGACUGACCCUUUAUUUAGAUACAGGAAAAUUUAGUUUUGGAGUCAGAAGUAAUUGUAUUCAGGCCAGACCGAUUGUGGUGGGAAAAGUAAAAAUGCCCCCAGUACAUGUCCCACCUGCAACUAAAUUAAUUGCAAUGAAACAAUAUCGGAUACCGGGGGGCCAUCAAGAAAUAAGCGAAACCAUUAAAGAAUUAAUGGAUACAGGGGUGGUACGAUAUACCACUACUGCUUGGAAUAAUCCGAUAUGGCCAGUGAAAAAGAGCGAUGGCUCCUGGCGCAUGACUGUGGAUUAUAGAGAACUGAAUAAAUAUACACCCCCAUUGACAGCCGCGGUACCGGACACAAUAACUAUUAUAGAAUAAAUACAGGUGCAUCCAGGGACCUGGUAUGUCGUACUAGAUCUGGCCAAUGCGUUCUUUACAAUACCUAUAGAAGAGAGGGCACAAGACCAGUUUGCCUUCUCUUGGAUGGGUAGGCAGUACACUUUUUGCCGAUUACCGCAGGGAUGGAUACACAGUCCCACAAUCUGCCAGAGAGUAGUAGGGGAACAUUUAGAUGAAUUCAAGUUACCAGCUAAUAUGCAGAUAUCACAUUAUAUCGAUGAUAUAAUGAUUCAAGGAAAUACUGAAGAACAGGUCAAAGAACAAUUAGACUUGUUAAUAAAACACAUGAAAAAUAAAGGGUGGGAGAUUAAUCCCGCCAAGGUGCAGGGACCUGCACAAGCGGUGAAGUUUUUGGGGAUACAGUGGAAUAAAGGACAUAGGGAAAUCCUCCCUAAAGCCAGGCAGAAGAUCCUAGAUUUCCCUACCCCCAAAAACAAACAAGAAACCCAAUCUUAUAUUGGGCUGUUUGGCUUUUGGAGGCAGCAUAUUCCUCAUUUAGGACAGUUACUUUCCCCCUUGCGAAAGGUGACACGCAAGAAAUAUGCAUUUACUUGGGGGGAGGAACAGCAACAGGCAUUUGAAGAUGCCAAGCAAGCAAUUCAACAAGCAGUAGAUUUGUGGCCCAUGGAAGAUGGAGAGGUAGAAUUACAUGUAUCAGCACAAGAACAAUAUGCUACUUGGUCACUGUGGCAAAAGCAAAGUGGCAAGAGAGUGCCACUAGGAUUUUGGAACAGAAAAUUACCCGAUGCAGGAGAGAAGUACACUCCUUUGGAGCAACAGUUACUAGCUUGCUAUUGGGCAUUAGUGGAUACUAAACAGUUAACAAUAGGACACUCUGUAUUGAUGAGACCACGCAUACCAAUUAUGCAAUGGAUAAUGUCUAUUCCAAAGUCAAAUAGGAUAGGAUAGGCCAUGCCCAAGAACAGAGUAUUAUAAAAUGGAAAUGGUAUAUUUCAGAAAGAGCAAAACAGGGAGAGGGAGGUGUGGCAUCCUUACAUGAAAAAAUUGCAGAUAUUCCAGUAGAUGGAGUGAGUACAGCUUCUCCUAAAGAACAGCUAGAAGAAUCACCAGUAAAAUGGGGUAAACCUUAUUCUGAGUUAAGCAACAAAUCUCAAUGUCACACAUGGUUUACAGAUGGAUCUGCACGUUAUGUUGCGGGAAGAAGGAAGUGGAGAUCAGUUGCGUUUAAUCCCCGCAUGUCUAAAACAUUAGAAAUAGAAGGGGAAGGAAAGAGUAGCCAAUAUGCCUAAUUAUUUGCAGUAUAUUUGGCCCUUAGACAGGAAAUUGGAGGUGAAUGUAAUAUUUAUACUGAUUCAUGGUCAGUAGCCAAUGGAUUAGCCACAUGGAUGAUGAGCUGGAAGAAACAUGAUUGGAAAAUUCAUGGGAAAGAGUUAUGGGGAAAGGAAGUCUGGGAGGACAUUGAAGUUAUCACUAAACAAACAAAAGUAACUGUAUUCCAUGUUGAUGCACAUGUACCAUUAGACUCACUUGAACGUUUGUUUAAUUCACAAGCAGAUGCACAAGCCGCCAUUGCUAAGUCAUCUCAGGAGCCAGUGGCAGGAGAGACGAAGGAAUUGGAAUCAUGGUUACAGGGUACAGCCCUUUGGGCACACCAAAAGAGUGGACAUCUGGGAGAAAAGGCAACUUACAGAUUGUCGUGAGGCUCAGUCUUGGAAUCCUUGGAAUUGUAUUAUUGGUCGUCCCCUCUAGUACAUGGACACCUGGAUUGAAGAUAGAGAAACGAGAGUUGCAUACUGUACGGUGGGGAUGGAACAAUGCCACUAUACCAAGAACCCAAGAUAAUUUCACUUGUCAGGCCAAUCAGCGCUGUACUAAUAUAGUAAAUAUAACAAUUCCAGGAACGAGGUGGGCUGGACCGCCUGAUCCACAAAGAAACAGAUAUCAACCUACAUUUGCCUUACAUCAGUCAGAAGGCAAUAUCACAAUUAAUGCUGCAGUAAAUAUAAGUUGCUGCUCUAAACCUUAUAGGUUCCGAUUUCUCCCUAAAGAAGAGAAGAAUAAAGAAUAUAAGAAUUGUUCUAAACAAGGAGCAACCACAUUUCGGUUAGCUGUAAAAGACGUUUUAAUUUUGGUAUGUCAUAAUGCUACUGAAAUAAAAAAUCGAACGUGGUGGGCACAAGA